rnacentral:rRNA from 1 species
UACGUAGGGGGCAAGCGUUGUCCGGAUUUAUUGGGCGUAAAGAGCGUGUAGGCGGCCUGAAAGGUCAGCUGUGAAAACUCGAGGCUCAACCUCGAGACGUCGGUUGAAACCAUCUGGCUAGAGUCCGGAAGAGGAGUGUGGAAUUCCCGGUGUAGCGGUGGAAUGCGCAGAUAUCAGGAGGAACACCGGUGGCGAAGGCGGGUCUCUGGGCCGUUACUGACGCUGAGGAGCGAAAGCGUGGGGAGCGAACAGG